rnacentral:rRNA from 1 species
GGUGGGCGCUAGGUGUGGGCUGUGUGUUUGCAGUCUGUGCCGUAGCUAACGCAUUAAGCGCCCCGCCUGGGGAGUACGGCCGCAAGGCUAAAACUCAAAGGAAUUGACGGGGGCCCGCACAAGCGGCGGAGCAUGUGGAUUAAUUCGAUGCAACGCGAAGAACCUUACCUGGGUUUGACAUGCACCAGAUCGGCGUAGAGAUACGUUUUCCCUUGUGGUUGGUGCACAGGUGGUGCAUGGCUGUCGUCAG